ACAAGCAUGCGGGCAGCGUGGUGAAAUGGGAAGCAAGCUGGGUCAUGAAUCAGCAGGCUUGGGCUGGAGCCCUGGGCAGGUCACUCCACUUCUUGGGACGCUGCUUCCUUCUCCAAGGUCACCGCCGUCUUGCGGCUUCUCCAACCGUCUGGAGGGUCGUGAGGACCACAGAGCCUCUGGGCUCUCAUGGAACUCUCUUUUAACUUCCACGAGGCACUUCUGAACAUCUGCCUUUUCUCUGAGCCAGCUUUCCAGUAACAAAAAGCUAACACUAUGAAAGAACAACCAGCAUACCAAAAGACUACCUAACAUCAUCCGAACAAGAGGCUUGUUUGGGAAUUCCGUGACACGUCCUCUCCGGAACAUCCCAGAAAGAGCAACUGGCCAUUGGGAAAUAAAAACCGCUUCUUUGAAAA